rnacentral:rRNA from 1 species
AAUGAACGCUGGCGGCGCGCCUAAUACAUGCAAGUCGAGCGAGAAGACGUAGCAAUACGUUUGUAAAGCGGCGAACGGGUGAGGAAUACAUGGGUAACCUACCCUCGAGUGGGAAUAACUAGCCGAAAGGUUAGCUAAUACCGCGUACGCUUCUUGGACUUCGGUUCAGGGAGGAAAGCGAUACCGUGGGUAUCGCGCUCUUGGAUGGGCUCAUGUCCUAUCAGCUUGUUGGGAGGUAACGGCUCACCAAGGCUUCGACGGGUAGCUGGUCUGAGAGGACGAUCAGCCAUACUGGCACUGCGACGACGGGCCAGACUCCUACGGGAGGCAGCAGUAAGGAAUAUUGCGCAAGUGGGACGAAA